CCCUAAAUUUCUUCUGUUUAUGGUUUCCCUUUCACUUUCAUCGUUUUUUGGUAGAAUUUCGUUAUAUCUCAGCUGUUUCGUAUGUGUAUAUGUCAAUUGGUGAAAUUUGAAAAAAAAAACUAGGUAAUUCUAGAUUUACUGCUGCGGAUUUUGUGAUUGAAGGAUCCUUUUGGUAUACUGUAGCUUUUCUUAAUUUUAAUUUGCGAGAAUUUGUUUUUGAUUGUAUAUUACAGUUUCUGUUUUGAAUUGGGAUUUGAUCUCAUAGGCUUGGGAAGUAUUACCUUUUAUUGAAUUCAUUCUGUUGGUUGAGCAAAUUUCCAUGUUGCUUGCUUGAGAUGAGGUGUUGGUCAUAGAAUCAUAGUUUGUUCGAAGCUCAGAAACCAUGGAAUUCUCGAGAAUGGCUUAGUAAAAGGAUAGAAUAAUCCUCGUAGCAACACAUAGAACAACUUGAGAGUUCGGCAUUUGAUCGAACAUAUGGGGGUCGUUCAGCAUUCGGCAACUGGAAUGGAUUUCGGGUGCUGGAUUCGGAACGGCGAACACCAUGGAAUUCUCGAGAAUAGCUUAGUAAAAAGAUUGAAAUAAUCCUCGUAGCAAUACAUUGAACACCUAGAGAGUUCGGCAUUUGAUCGAACAUAUGGAGGUCAUUCAGUGUUCGGAAACCAAAAAGGGUUUUGGAUGCUGGGUUCAGAACGGCGAACAGCUAGUGUUCGUCGUGGACAGAAACAAUUCAGCACGCUGGUAUUUCUGCAUGUGGUGUCUUUUGCCGCACACAAGCAAGGACAGAGCACCUGAGUGCUAUUUUAUCAAGCCUUGCAUGAUCGACAAGUAUGCUAACGAGGGGGCUAUGGGAGACGUGGAUCUUUCUUCUCAUUUGAUCUAGGAGUAAAACUUUGAUGGUUGAGACUCCAUACAUAUGUCACGUGGUAUGUCUAGUCAGGCAUAAUUGCAGAAAUCUCAUUUGUAGAAAUCUCUAUCUGAAGAGUUAUGCAAUUGUGAUUGGAUAAACAUACCAAAAGCAAUGUGUAAAUUUUAUUUUUGAUUUAGAGAUCUUGAAGUGGCUUGAUAUCUUCUUGUACAGGAUGCCGAUGCUGAUGCCAU